CUUCUUUGCUGGCGACCGGCGCACGGGUGAGUAACACGUAUCCAACCUGCCCUUUACUCGGGGAUAGCCUUUCGAAAGAAAGAUUAAUACCCGAUAGCAUAAUGAUUCCGCAUGGUUUCAUUAUUAAAGGAUUCCGGUAAAGGAUGGGGAUGCGUUCCAUUAGGUUGUUGGUGAGGUAACGGCCCACCGAGCCUUCGAUGGAUAGGGGUUCUGAGAGGAAGGUCCCCCACAUUGGAACUGAGACACGGUCCAA
rnacentral:rRNA from 1 species